UACGUAGGGUCCGAGCGUUGUCCGGAAUUAUUGGGCGUAAAGAGCUCGUAGGCGGUUUGUCGCGUCUGCCGUGAAAGUCCGGGGCUCAACUCCGGAUCUGCGGUGGGUACGGGCAGACUAGAGUGAUGUAGGGGAGACUGGAAUUCCUGGUGUAGCGGUGAAAUGCGCAGAUAUCAGGAGGAACACCGGUGGCGAAGGCGGUUCUCUGGGCAUGAUCUGACGCUGAGGAGCGAAAAGUGUGGGGGAGCGAACAGG
rnacentral:rRNA from 1 species